rnacentral:rRNA from 1 species
AAAUUGAAGAGUUUGAUCAUGGCUCAGAUUGAACGCUGGCGGCAGGCCUAACACAUGCAAGUCGAACGGUAACAGAAAGCAGCUUGCUGCUUUGCUGACGAGUGGCGGACGGGUGAGUAAUGUCUGGGAAACUGCCUGAUGGAGGGGGAUAACUACUGGAAACGGUAGCUAAUACCGCAUAACGUCGCAAGACCAAAGAGGGGGACCUUCGGGCCUCUUGCCA